GACGAACGCUGGCGGCGUGCUUAACACAUGCAAGUCGAACGAAGAGCGAUGGAAGCUUGCUUCUAUCAAUCUUAGUGGCGAACGGGUGAGUAACGCGCAAUCAACCUGCCCUUCAGAGGGGGACAACAGUAGGAAACGACUGCUAAUACCGCAUACGAUCUAAUCUCGGCAUCGAGGAUAGAUGAAAGGUGGCCUCUACAUGUAAGCUAUCACUGAAGGUGGGGAUUGCGCCUGGUUAGCUAGUUGGAGGGGUAACGGCCCACCAAGGCGAUGAUCAGUAGCCGGUCUGAGAGGAUGAACGGCCAAAAUGGGACUGGGACACGGCCCAGACUCCUACGGGAGGCAGCAGUGGGGAAUCUUCCGCAAUGGACGAAAGUCUUACGGAGCAACGCCGCGUGGGUGAUGACGGCCUUCGGGUUGUAAAGCUCCGUUAAUCGGGACGAAAGGCCUUCUUGCGAAUAGUGAGAAGGAUUGACGGUACCGGAAUAGAAAGCCACGGCUAACUACGUG
rnacentral:rRNA from 1 species